rnacentral:rRNA from 1 species
UUUNNNNCCUGGCUCAGAUUGAACGCUGGCGGCAGGCUUAACACAUGCAAGUCGAACGGUAGCAGGAAGAAAGCUUGCUUUCUUUGCUGACGAGUGGCGGACGGGUGAGUAAUGCUUGGGAAUCUGGCUUAUGGAGGGGGAUAACUGUGGGAAACUGCAGCUAAUACCGCGUAUUCUCUGAGGAGGAAAGGGUGGGACCUUAGGGCCACCUGCCAUAAGAUGAGCCCAAGUGGGAUUAGGUAGUUGGUGGGGUAAAGGCCUACCAAGCCUGCGAUCUCUAGCUGGUCUGAGAGGAUGACCAGCCACACUGGAACUGAGACACGGUCCAGACUCCUACGGGAGGCAGCAGUGGGGAAUAUUGCGCAAUGGGGGGAACCCUGACGCAGCCAUGCCGCGUGAAUGAAGAAGGCCUUCGGGUUGUAAAGUUCUUUCGGUAAUGAGGAAGGGAUGUUGUUAAAUAGAUAGCAUCAUGACGUNAU